rnacentral:lncRNA from 1 species
GGGUAUCAAUCACAGGAUGCAAGGAUGCUCAAACAAGAAUCUGGACCUGCAGGUAAACAAUAGUUCAUAUCCUCUCUCUCAGUCAAAGUCUGCUUAUAUUGCAAAAUCAUUGACCAAGAUUGGACAGGCUUCCAUGAAUGAAGCUUUAAUGGUUUUAGCCACCAAAUAAUGUUCACUCUUUUUGACAUAUAUCCUAGGAUCAUUUGUGAAGCAAGCCUUAAUGGUUGAGCCACCAAGUCUUGUUCUAAUCCUUUACCUAUAGAAUUGUUAUGAAGCAAGCCUUAAUGGUUGUAGCCACCAAAUUAUGUUCUAGUUCCUUCUUUAUAAAUCUAUAAUAUUUUUUUUUUUUGAAAACUAUAUCUAUAAUUUUGAAAGUAGAGAGAGGGUUAUAAAUCUACAAAAGGCUUUACGUUCCAGAUUUAUUUGAAGAAUCUGAUCCCAUAAACACCAAGCCCCAAGACAAGCAGAGUUGAGCUCAAUUAGGUUGGAGGUCAGCUUUGGUUCCUUCAAACACUCUUAGCAAGUGUAACAUAGUUGACAUGUUGAUCCAUUUU